CUAUAACUCUUUUGUUGCUAUAUACACAUACCUGCUAGUCAUUUCCCAAUUGGCUUCAUAUUGUGAAUUUUGUUGACAGUUUCUCAUUUAGUUGUGGAAUCCACUAAUGGAAGCACGCGAGUAUGCAACUUUGUUUGCGCUGUGCAGGUUUCUGCAUUUCUGGCAGGACUGUUUCAUUCUCGCCUAACCAAGAGGGUUCUCAUUGUUGCUCCAAAGACAGUUCUGGCUCGUUGGACUGAGGAGCUCACACUUGUUGGCCUUAAACAGAAGAUCGGCGACUACUAUGGACCCAACAAAGAAAUUCGCAAUGAGGAGCUUCGGCGUACCUUAAAGGAGGAGGAGGGUGGUGUCCUCCUAACAACGUACGACAUUGUCCGAAUCAAUUACAAGCAAAUAAGAGGCGAUUCCUUCAACCAUGAUGAUGGCGAUGAGGAAGGAACAUCAUGGAAUUAUGUAAUUCUUGAUGAGGGGGAUUGAAUAAAGAACCCUAAGACACAAAGGGCCCAAAGCUUGUUUGAAAUACCUUGUGCCCAUCGAAUUGUGAUCACUGGGACACCAAUACAAAAUAACUUGAAGGAAAUGUGGGCUCAAUACAAAUUCUGUUGCCCGGAUGUCUUGGGUGAUGAAGAACAGUAAUUUCAUACAUUCAGUUCGAAAUGAGGUAUGAGAUGGUUAUUCUUGGAGGAAAUG